AUACGGAGGGUGCAAGCGUUAAUCGGAAUUACUGGGCGUAAAGCGCACGCAGGCGGUUUGUUAAGUCAGAUGUGAAAUCCCCGGGCUCAACCUGGGAACUGCAUCUGAUACUGGCAAGCUUGAGUCUCGUAGAGGGGGGUAGAAUUCCAGGUGUAGCGGUGAAAUGCGUAGAGAUCUGGAGGAAUACCGGUGGCGAAGGCGGCCCCCGGGACGAAGACUGACGCUCAGGUGCGAAAGCGUGGGGAGCAAACAGGAUUAGAUCCCCUGGUAGUCCACGCCGUAAACGAUGUCGACUUGGAGGUUGUGCCUUGAGGCGUGGCUUCCGGAGCUAACGCGUUAAGUCGACCGCCUGGGGAGUACGGCCGCAAGGUUAAAACUCAAAUGAAUUGACGGGG
rnacentral:rRNA from 1 species